rnacentral:rRNA from 1 species
UUGUUGGUAAGGUAAAAGCUUACCAAGGCUUCGAUCAGUAGCUGGUCUGAGAGGACGACCAGCCACACUGGGACUGAGACACGGCCCAGACUCCUACGGGAGGCAGCAGUGGGGAAUUUUGGACAAUGGGGGCAACCCUGAUCCAGCCAUGCCGCGUGAGUGAAGAAGGCCCUCGGGUUGUAAAGCUCUUUCAGCCGGAACGAAACGGUUACGGAUAACACCCGUGGCUACUGACGGUACCGGAAGAAGAAGCACCGGCUAACUACGUGCCAGCAGCCGCGGUAAUACGUAGGGUGCGAGCGUUUAUCGGAAUUACUGGGCGUAAAGCGUGCGCAGGUGGUUUUGUAAGUCAGAUGUGAAAGCCCCGGGCUCAACCUGGGAACUGCGUUUGAAACUACAAGACUAGAGUGUGGCAGAGGGGGGUGGAAUUCCGCGUGUAGCAGUGAAAUGCGUAGAGAUGUGGAGGAACACCGAUGGCGAAGGCAGCCCCCUGGGUCAACACUGACGCUCAGGCACGAAAGCAUGGGGAGCAAACAGGAUUAGAUACCCUGGUAGUCCAUGCCCUAAACGAUGUCAACUAGUUGUCGGGCCUUUACGGGCUUGGUAACGUAGCUAACGCGUGAAGUUGACCGCCUGGGGAGUACGAUCGCAAGAUUAAAACUCAAAUGAAUUGACGGGGACCCGCACAAGCGGUGGAUUAUGUGGAUUAAUUCGAUGCAACGCGAAAAACCUUACCUACCCUUGACAUGUAUCGAAGCCCGCAGAAAAGCGGGGGUGCCCGAAAGGGAACGAUAACACAGGUGCUGCAUGGCUGUCGUCAGCUCGUGUCGUGAGAUGUUGGGKUAAGUCCCGCAACGAGCGCAACCCUUGUCAUUAAUUGCCAUCAUUUAGUUGGGCACUUUAAUGAGACUGCCGG